UUAACAGCUCUGGAACCAGGAAUCUUCUGUAAAGAGAAAAGGUAGUAGCAGCAGUACAAACUUUCCCACAGUGCUCCACCAAUGUGCCUCAUUCCUGAACUUCAGUGCCCAAAUUUUGGGGUUGGAAGAUCACUUAUUCUCUGUGCCCUGUUCCUUGGCCUGU
ensembl:misc_RNA